rnacentral:rRNA from 1 species
UGGUGUUACUGCGAAGGGGGGACGGAGAAGGCUAUGUUGGCCGGGCGACGGUUGUCCCGGUUUAAGCGUGUAGGUGUGUGUUCCAGGUAAAUCCGGUUCACUUUAACACUGAGGCGUGACGACGAGGCACUACGGUGCUGAAGCAACAAAUGCCCUGCUUCCAGGAAAAGCCUCUAAGCAUCAGGUAACAUCAAAUCGUACCCCAAACCGACACAGGUGGUCAGGUAGAGAAUACCAAGGCGCUUGAGAGAACUCGGGUGAAGGAACUAGGCAAAAUGGUGCCGUAACUUCGGGAGAAGGCACGCUGACACGUAGGUGAAGUGAUUUACUCAUGGAGCUGAAGUCAGUCGAAGAUACCAGCUGGCUGCAACUGUUUAUUAAAACACAGCACUGUGCAAACACGAAAGUGGACGUAUACGGUGUGACGCCUGCCCGGUGCCGGAAGGUUAAUUGAUGGGGUCAGCGCAAGCGAAGCUCCUGAUCGAAGCCCCGGUAAACGGCGGCCGUAACUAUAACGGUCCUAAGGUAGCGAAAUUCCUUGUCGGGUAAGUUCCGACCUGCACGAAUGGCGUAAUGAUGGCCAGGCUGUCUCCACCCGAGACUCAGUGAAAUUGAACUCGCUGUGAAGAUGCAGUGUACCCGCGGCAAGACGGAAAGACCCCGUGAACCUUUACUAUAGCUUGACACUGAACAUUGAGCCUUGAUGUGUAGGAUAGGUGGGAGGCUUUGAAGUGUGGACGCCAGUCUGCAUGGAGCCGACCUUGAAAUACCACCCUUUAAUGUUUGAUGUUCUAACGUGGACCCGUAAUCCGGGUUGCGGACAGUGUCUGGUGGGUAGUUUGACUGGGGCGGUCUCCUCCUAAAGAGUAACGGAGGAGCACGAAGGUUGGCUAAUCCUGGUCGGACAUCAGGAGGUUAGUGCAAUGGCAUAAGCCAGCUUGACUGCGAGCGUGACGGCGCGAGCAGGUGCGAAAGCAGGUCAUAGUGAUCCGGUGGUUCUGAAUGGAAGGCCAUCGCUCAACGGAUAAAAGGUACUCCGGGGAUAACAGGCUGAUACCGCCCAAGAG